rnacentral:rRNA from 1 species
UACGUAGGGUGCGAGCGUUAAUCGGAAUUACUGGGCGUAAAGCGUGCGUAGGCGGUUCCUCAAGUCCGUUGUGAAAGCCCCGGGCUCAACCUGGGAAUGGCAGUGGAAACUAGGGGACUGGAAUCUGGCAGAGGGGGGUGGAAUGCCGCGUGUAGCAGUGAAAUGCGUAGAUAUGCGGAGGAACACCGAUGGCGAAGGCAAUCCCCUGGGCCUGCACUGACGCUCAUGCACGAAAGCGCGGGGAGCAAACAGG